rnacentral:rRNA from 1 species
GACGUAGGGUGCGAGCGUUGUCCGGAUUUAUUGGGCGUAAAGAGCUCGUAGGCGGCUCGUCGCGUCGACCGUGAAACCCGCGGCUUAACUGCGGGCUUGCGGUUGAUACGGGCGGGCUAGAGUUCGGUAGGGGAGACUGGAAUUCCUGGUGUAGCGGUGAAAUGCGCAGAUAUCAGGAGGAACACCGGUGGCGAAGGUGGGUCUCUGGGCCGAUACUGACGCUGAGGAGCGAAAGCGUGGGGAGCGAACAGG